rnacentral:rRNA from 1 species
UACGAAAGGGGCUAGCGUUGUUCGGAUUACUGGCGUAAGGACAGCGCAGGCGGUCUUGCCAGUCAGGGGUGAAAGCCCGAGGCUCAACCUCGGAACUGCCUCUGAUACUGUAAGACUUGAGACUAGGAGAGGGUGGUGGAAUUCCCAGUGUAGAGGUGAAAUUCGUAGAUAUUGGGAGGAACACCAGAGGCGAAGGCGGCCACCUGGACUAGAUCUGACGCUCAGGUGCGAAAGCGUGGGGAGCAAACAGGAUUAGAUACCCGCGUAGUCC